GACAUAUAAACUGUGAAAGUGUUGUGUAAACUGUGGAUAAUGAAUAAUGAUGAUUAUGCUGCGCUUUUUAUAGAAUUGCAUGUUACCUCAGCUCAGGAGUUGUUUUGUUCCACUGAACACUGCACUAGCACUAGCUCUCUGCACUGUAAAUAGCUAGUGAGUUAACUAUCAUUAUGUUGUCUACAACUGUAAAGCAUCGAUUGCUUGACAACGGCUCGAGCACCCUUCAGUGGCUGGAAAUUACUCCUUCGAUGUGUACUCAAAGCUGUUGAUGCUGUUAGGAUCGUUGUGUCGAGUACCUUGGUGUACCAGGUAGAUGUCCUUUUUCCUGUAUUACGAAAUGUGGAGAGAUUAAAGGGUAAAAUGUUUCUGCUAGCUAUACCAUUCCUAUAUCAUCAUUAAUAGGCUUAAUCGAUCCACAUCUAAACAUGUCCAAAGUUAUUGGAUUGAUUAAUAGAAGCUCAAAUUUCCAGCUUUGCCCUGGCCUUCUUCAUGAUUGGUAUGAGAGAAAGUGUGACACGGCAGGGUUUCGUCAAAAAGACAUCAGAAGUUUUGAAAUUCCUUGCAAACGAUACGAGUGUAAUACAUGCCUUCUAUGGCACAAGCCUUUCACACCAUCUACAUAAUGUGUGUUCUGAGUGCAAAAAAAAAGCAAAACGGCUUGUACAAAAUUAUGAGUAUGCUGUUACUGUUACUCCUAAACAGAAAGAUGCAUGGUAGGUGAGACUCCUCAUCAAAUUACCCAGUUUCAAAUUUAUCUCCUGCAAGUCAAAUGGAAAGAAUGAAGCGUUUAAAGAAGGAUCUGGAUAUAAACAACUUCAUCAGCAACACUUUCUUUGACCUUCUUGGAGAUCUUUUUGGACAUGAUAUUUAUAAUUUCUUUUGCAGUACAGUUGAGUCAUGUUGCAUGUGGUGAGAGUAGUAUCAACAUUGUUAUUGUAACACCUUGUAUCUCAAGUGGUUGUGGUUACAGUAUAGAGAUUUGUGACGUAGGAGUGGAGGAAUGCUUUUUGUGCACAGUCUAUUGGAGUUGCGUACUCUUCCUAAUGAACUCUUGGUAUUAGUGAGGAAACAUUAAAAGGACUACGCAUUACUGUCAAAUCAUUUGUCGAAAUGACCAAGUUUCUCCUAUGUCAGCCAAACUCAAAUGACCUCUUCCUGUCUUCCUGCUUAGUCAAGAGGACACCGUCCCGGGAACCCCAAUUUCAAGGAGUGUACACAGAAUGCUGUGGCCAUUAGAGUCUUUGAACCUAGAUCGCGUAAAGCGGCUUCUAGGUAAUGAAGAUCAUAUAUUAAGUAAAGAUGAUGAAGUACCUUUGCCAAAACGUAAGCGGCACUAACAGAAUUUUUAUAUCGCUCACAAAGUUCUAUAUUUUUUUAUAUAACUUAUACUAAUUCUGAUAUGACAUGUAUAUAUAUAAUAAUUGUUGUAUGACAAUGUCACAAUCAAAUCUUCAAUCUAUGGGACUAGUUGUUUCCUUAGUUCAACGCUCUUCUUUGUAGAUCGUUUUUCUAGUCUCUUGAACUGCUCCAUCCACAUGGCAGCAAUACACAUACAAUUUAACUAUUUCAGCUAAUAGCCAAGCAACAUCUUCUUCCUUUUCUAUGCAUUGACAUAGCAGUGUCCAGUGGAACUGAACACUGUCGCUGUCCACUAUCUUAGGUCUUUUGAGGUCUUUUUGAGCAUAUGACUUGUAAGUAGCACUCGCGUUUGCUUCUCAAUGUCCACAAAUAGGGUAAAUGCCUGGUUAUUCAAAGGAAAUAAACCCUAACCUUAACCUUAACCUUGGCCAUCCAUUCCUUUGUGUACUCCAGAACAUCACUGUCAUUGUCACUCACUACGACCAUAUCCCCAAGACAUUCAAAUAAAUGCUGGUAUUUCUGGUAUUUCUUCCCAAAGAUGGUUGGUUGGCAUAUGACAGAGCUUAUAAGAAAUGGAGCAAUAAUUAUAGGAAACAGAAGUCAAAAGGCACCUGAUUAAGAGUUACAGAGCAGUAGUCUGAGUAGACCAGCAGCUUUCCAUUGACAAGAAUUGUAAUCUGUUGCAGGAUGUAAAAUUAACAUCCGGUCAUUGCAUGGGCGAAAGGGGUCUAUGCGGCGUUGCGGCACUUGAUUCUUCAGUCUAACGGCUUGGAGGUUCGGAGUGAUUUGAAGAGAUUUGACAAGGGUCAAACUAUCAUCAACUAUCAACUAACGAGCUCAAUGGCCUCUGCACCACCUCUGGUUACGCCGCCGGCGGCACCACCACCAAGACUGCCAAAGACCCAACUGCACUACGGGUACAGUGAGUUUUGCAUGAUCACGGGAGCCACCAGGUGUUGAUGGUUUAGAUGGUAGGCCAGGGAUUUAUGGCGUGGAUGGUAGGCCAGGGGUAGAUGGCGUGGAUGGUAGGCCAGGGAUAGAUGGCGUGGAUGGGGUGCAUGGAGUGAACGGUUUGACGGGAAGAACUGGGAUAGAUGGUAUGAAUGGGUCGAGUGGGAUGAAUGGAUUGCCAGGGGUGGAUGGUGCGAAUGGAACUGAUGGGGUGAAUGGACAACGUGGAGAGAGAGGAGAGAGAGGACCAGAAUGAUACAAUCAUUAAUGGCACAAAAUAGAGCACUAACAAAAGUAGUAACUCUACUGGCGGGACUACUCCCUCAACCUCUACCACCCACCAUUGAGGAGGCUUUG